rnacentral:tRNA from 1 species
GGAUUGUGGCUCAGUGGUAGAGUGCUCCCCCAGCAUGCAUGAGGCCCUGGGUUUGAACCUCAGCACCA